GGGUGGAUAGUUUAGCUUGGUUAAAACUCUGGUCCCCAAAACCGGCGUCAUAGGUUCAAAUCCUAUUCCACCCA
rnacentral:tRNA from 1 species